rnacentral:rRNA from 1 species
UUCGCAAUGCCCGAAAGGGUGACGAAGCGACGCCGCGUGUGGGAAGAAGGCCUUCGGGUUGUAAACCACUGUCGGGAGUUAGGAAAUGUAAGGGUGUUAAUAGUAUCCUUACUUGACUAAGGCUCCGGAGGAAGCCACGGCUAACUCUGUGCCAGCAGCCGCGGUAAUACAGAGGCGGCAAGCGUUGUUCGGAAUUAUUGGGCGUAAAGAGCACGUAGGCGGCCUUGUAAGUCAGUUGUGAAAGCCUUCUGCUUAACGGAAGAACAGCAUCUGAUACUGCAAGGCUAGAGUGCGGAAGGGGAGAGUGGAACUUCUGGUGGAGCGGUGAAAUGCGUAGAUAUCAGAAGGAACGCCGGCGGCGAAAGCGGCUCUCUGGACCGUAACUGACGCUGAGUGUGCGAAAGCUAGGGGAGCAAACGGGAUUAGAUACCCCGGUAGUCCUAGCCGUAAACGAUGGGCACUAAGUAGAGGGGUUUU